GAGGGCCUGCUGUGUUUCACGCGCAGGAGAGAUGACACUGUCGUUAUAUAUCCUCUUCAUUCAUUUCAGUUUAAGAUGAUAAAGAGUGUAUGUAUAAGAGCAGUGUCAUCUCUCUGCGCACGAAACAGAGAGAUUCUC
rnacentral:pre_miRNA from 1 species